rnacentral:lncRNA from 1 species
UUAGGUUUGAUUUAUAUCUAUUGAAAAUGCAAUUAUUAAUAAAACUUUUCUCUACUUUUAAGAGUGUUCCAGGAGAUGAUAAAAGUGUUUGGAUGAUUUAUUACAUGGUGUUCUCCCAAGAACAGUGGUUUCGUGGCUCCUUUUGAAAGGUUCUGGAAAUGGUCUCUUUGACCAUUUCCUGUUGAAGGUCUGGGAUUCCCUGGCACAGACCUCUGGGACAGGGGGGCCAAACUACCCAAGGAGUUGCUGUGAUGGAUGGGAACUCAUGGCAUGGCUGAGGCCAGCAGGGGCAGAGAAUGAAUGUCCGGUUGUGUAGGGUGCAC